rnacentral:rRNA from 1 species
UACGGAGGGUGCGAGCGUUAAUCGGAAUUACUGGGCGUAAAGCGCGCGUAGGUGGUUUGGUAAGCGAGAUGUGAAAGCCCCGGGCUUAACCUGGGAACGGCAUUUCGAACUGUCAGGCUAGAGUGUGGUAGAGGGUAGUGGAAUUUCCUGUGUAGCGGUGAAAUGCGUAGAUAUAGGAAGGAACACCAGUGGCGAAGGCGGCUACCUGGACCAACACUGACACUGAGGUGCGAAAGCGUGGGGAGCAAACAGG